CAUUCCUCGACUUACAGACCUCAACUUCUCUCUGCGCUGGCCGGAGUUGCACCUCGAUAGCUCAUUCCGCCACUAUUUAUCUGCCUCAUCGUCUUCAUUCUCAUUCCAGCCUUGACUUACCCAGCAGCCUGAAGGUGGAGAAAGAACACAAAGGAUAGGAAGGUGGAGAUUUUGUUGGUCUCACACUUUGAAACAUUCGUUCCCUGAGCUUUCGUGCUUCGAAUAUGUCAAUCAACUCACUUGGAGAGUAAGAGAGAACGUUGGUUGGGAAGUGAAGCUUGCAGACCUAUUCAGAAUUAAGAACGUUGGUAUUCAAUGUUCAGAGGCUUCAACUUCAGCCCCUACAACAACCAAAACCAAGAAGAGAAGGCAGAAACAAAAAAUUAAAUGAGGAGGAUUAGAAGCCUUUGGGAAGGUAUGAACUGAAGAUGUUAUAGAUGAUUGGCAUUGUUCUUUGUUUUGAUUUUUUUGUGUUGUCAUUGAUCUUAAUCUCAUAUUAUCAAAGUGUUUGUGUUUUCAUUGAAUUUUUUGUUAUGAGUUUGUAAUUGGUUGCAGGUGUUUUAGGAUAGUUAAAAAAAAUCAUUGGUAUAUAGAGUGGAGAAUGACAACAGAAAAAAUAUCUCGGUGACCAAGUACAUGUUUAAGGAGGGCAGCCUUUAUGUGAUUGUGUGUUAAAUGACAUAAUAUUGGCUCAUCACCAACUUCAUUGUUGCUAUUUGCACUUGUGUUUAUGGGCAGCUAAUGCUGGAUUGGAUUUAGGGGGGGAAGAUGGAAGUCUUUUCUAGUUAGCAACUAGUUAGUGCUAAAAUUGUAAAGCAUAUGGAGACACAUGUGUUUUUGGAAUACAAUUGUUAGAUAAUUAUAAUUUUGUGUAAAAAUUUAGAUGAGUGAUGGGCAAUGUAUUUCUACGUACAUGCUAUAUUUGACCAUGAUUAAGACCCCUAAUGCUAUGUUGCUAAUUUGCUAUGCAAUGAGUGACUUGGUGGCUACAUUUAUGGAGGCCGAAGAGUAGGGGUGUAAAUGGGCCGAGUCAAGCCGAAUACUGAGUUGUUCAUGUUUGGCUCGUUUUCAUUCGAUCAAG